GGGUAAGCCUUAUGAAAUUUUCGAGUUGAAAAUUUUUUGAAAUUUUUUUUCUGAUUUUUUAUUCUUUUUUUAAUUUAAAGCACUAUUUAAGUGAAAAGAAACUCAUUGCAACAAAUUCCCAUUAAAAUAUAUCACAUUUUUCAAUUUUGCUACAUUGGUGAAAAAUGAGGAAAAUUUUACAUUUUCUCAAACAGGGUAUGGAACUUGGUUCCUCGAAUAACUUCUGGCACAGACAUCUGAGGGCAUGGCCGUCCAAGAAGAAAAUGUAGCCAUUAUUGCCAUCUAUCGACCACAGGUUAAAGAUUGCCGAUCCGUUGGAUAUAGACCGAGUUAUAGACAAAAGUUGGUGCAAAAAUGAGGAAAAUUUUACAUUUUCUCAACCAGGGUAUGGAACUUGCUUCCUCGAAUAACUUCUGGCACAGACAUCUGAGGGCAUGGCCGUCCAAGAAGAAAAUGUAGCCAUUGUUGCCAUCUAUCGACCACAGGUUAAAAAUUGGCGAUCCGUUAGAUACCGACCGAGUUAUAGACAAAACUUGGUGCAAAAAUGAGGAAAAUUUUACAUUUUCUCAACCAGGGUAUGGAACUUGCUUCCUCGAAUAACUUCUGGCACAGACAUCUGAGGGCAUGGCCGUCCAAGAAGAAAAUGUAGCCAUUGUUGCCACCUAUCGACCACAGGUUGAAGAUUGGCGAUCCGUUGGAUAUAGACCGAGUUAUAGGCAAAAGUAGGUGCAAAAAUGAGGAAAAUUUUACAUUUUCUCAAACAGGGUAAGGAACUUGGUUCCUCGAAUAACUUCUGGCACAGACAUCUGAGAGCAUGGGCGUCCAAGAAGAAAAUGUAGCCAUUGUUGCCAUCUAUCGACCACAGGUUAAAGAUUGCCGAUCCGUUGGAUAUAGACCGAGUUAUAGGCAAAAGUUGGUGCAAAAAUGAGGAAAAUUUUACAUUUUCUCAACCAGGGUAUGGAACUUGCUUCCUCGAAUAACUUCUGGCACAGACAUCUGAGGGCAUGGCCGUCCAAGAAGAAAAUGUAGCCAUUGUUGCCAUCUAUCGACCACAGGUUAAAAAUUGGCGAUCCGUUAGAUACCGACCGAGUUAUAGACAAAACUUGGUGCAAAAAUGAGGAAAAUUUUACAUUUUCUCAACCAGGGUAUGGAACUUGCUUCCUCGAAUAACUUCUGGCACAGACAUCUGAGGGCAUGGCCGUCCAAGAAGAAAAUGUAGCCAUUGUUGCCACCUAUCGACCACAGGUUGAAGAUUGGCGAUCCGUUGGAUACCGACCGAGUUAUAGACAAAAGUUGGUGCAAAAAUGAGGAAAAUUUUACAUUUUCUCAACCAGGGUAUGGAACAUGGUUCCUCGAAUAACUUCUGGCACAGACAUCUGAGAGCAUGGGCGUCCAAGAAGAAAAUGUAGCCAUUGUUGCCAUCUAUCGACCACAGGUUGAAGAUUGGCGAUCCGUUGGAUACCGACCGAGUUAUAGACAAAAGUUGGUGCAAAAAUGAGGAAAAUUUUACAUUUUCUCAAACAGGGUAUGGAACAUGGUUCCUCGAAUAACUUCUGACACAGACAUCUGAGAGCAUGGCCGUCCAAGAAGAAAAUGUAGCCAUUGUUGCCAUCUAUCGACCACAGGUUGAAGAUUGGCGAUCCGUUGGAUGUAGAUCGAGU